GUCAGAGCAGGACCGCCAUUUGCGUUUACCGAGAUUAAUAAUCGUCCGUGUGUGAUAGCGUCAUUUCGUGUGUACACGGUUUAUCGUGCGUAUUGCCCGUCGGCCACCCGCCAACGAUUGACACUCAGCGUUCCGAAUCGUUUUCCGACGAUUUUUUUUCGAUAAAAAAUACACCUUCCGGGACGACGAAGAGUUUUUAUUAUGUAGUGACGCGAUCGGCCGGGCCAAAUACGCGUGCUAGCAGCCAGCACAGUUAAAACCGACGACAAAGAAGUUCAGUCGUUCGUUUUCGGGCAGAAAACGAUCCGCUCAUCAGUUCCAUCCGCACGCCGCUAUAGACGCCGCGAUGGACAGCAGCUCUAACGGCGAGACGAAGGAGCCGCCGCCGUCGUCUUCUCCAACUCCGCCGCCGCCGCCGCCAGCUCAGGCGACGUCGACGACAGCUGCAGCGUUGACGACAACAACGAUGACGACGACGAUGUCCAUAACUAGCCUAACGACCACGAUCACGACGACGAUGACUACGACGAGCCCGACGGAUAUCUAUCAGAUGUGCCGUCUGUGCCUGAACACGCUGAAGGCGGACGAAGGCGAAUCGGUGUUCAACAACCAGGUGCCCUCGCUGCCGGAGAAAAUCUACCGUGUAUUUGGGGUACAAAUUACCGAUGCUAAAGAUUUGCCAAAUAAACUUUGCUCAAAAUGUGUGCAAAAUACUGAACAGUGUUACAGCCAUAGAGAAACAUACAAGCGUCAAGAACGUGUUUUGUAUGACAUGAUUAAAAAGCCAGCAAUUGAGGAAGCUAAGAAUUCACCAAAUUCUGAAUAUGUGUACAGUCCUGCGGAUUCAAAUCACUCUUCAUCAUCGGGUGUAUCAUCUGAUCCCCGUUACAUUAAGGCCAAUAGUUCAGCUAAUAACAUGAAUAAUAGUUCUAAUUCUCCACCUUAUGAAACAAAUGCAUCUCUAGCUUCUCAUGUUGAAGUUAUUCAAGGGUGUGAUGAAAUGGCAGCAGAGGUGACAAUAGCUCAUGACUCAGAAGAAACCGUUUCAGGAGAUGACACUAUUUGUACUGACAACAAUGCUGAAUAUGGAACAUAUAAUGAUGACGAAAAUAUUAUUGUAGUUAAAACUGAACCAGACGACGAUUAUGAUGAAGAAUAUUUCAAUGGUUUGUAUAGCACUAAAAAUGACGAUGGAAAUGAAAAUUAUGAACAACAAGAAGGACCAAAAGUUAUUGCUAGUGUACAAUUCCCAAUGGUAAAUGGUACAAUCGUUAAUGGUACCCAUAAAAUUGGCCAAAAGCAAUUUUCUUUAGUUAAUUGCAUUCCAACAUCCUGGGCUUCGAGUACGAGCAAAGACCGUCGUAAACAAAGUUGUCCAACUAGAGCAUUGGAAUUAAGCGGUUUCCGAACACAAGUUGCUGGUGAUGAUACUAAUUCAUCAGAUGAAGGAAAUGUUACAAAUUGGACAACUAAAAAAAUCCGUGCCAAUUCCCCUGCUGUUAUAGUGAAGCCUGCUUAUGCAUGGCCUAAUUUACAAGGCAGUGGCCAAACCCUAAUAUUUCAAACAAAAAAUCCUGAUGGUACAACUUCUGAAUUACGUCCUCAAGUUAUGCAAGUUGGUGAAUGGGCCAACAAUCAGGGUCAAUCGAAUGCUCCUACAGAUCCAUCAGAUCGCAUGGGUAUGCUGUUAUUUGCUGCUACUCAUAUUCAAGAAUUAUCCACUGAGAGUGAUGAUGGUCAGUCUCCUGGCACACCCAAGGGCGCUACUGUUGUACGUGGUAAAUUAGUAUCGUCAGAACAAAAGCGCAAGAUAUAUCAGACACAAGCCACAAUUAGGCGGUAUUCAGAUGGUCAUCAAGUACAACAGCAAGUUAAAGACAUAAAUGCUUCACCAAAUAUACCCAGAAAACGUACUGCUAGGGAAUCAUCUGUUCAGAGAAUGUGCAGUAAUUGUGGGACUACAUGUUCAACAAUAUGGCGACGAUUAAAUGAAGACCCAGUAUGCAAUGCCUGUGGAUUAUACUAUAAACUACAUGGAAAAAUUAGACCACCCACCAUGAGACGUGACACCAUACAUACUAGACAACGUAGAAAACGAUCAGACAACGCACAUUAAAAACUAAAAUUAAGCGGUGGUCAGGACAAUUAUACAAGAUUUUACGCUUGCUUCAGGUAUGGACAUAAGCAUGAAUAAGAAAAAAAUCAAAAU
rnacentral:misc_RNA from 1 species